rnacentral:lncRNA from 1 species
GUGGUGGUGCUGAGGGGGUGUCACCCUGUGGGUGGGGGUCACCCUGUGGGUGGUGGUGGUGGUGGGGAUCACCCUAUGGUUGGGGGUCACCUAUGGGUGGUGGGGGUCACCCUAUGGUAGGGGGUCACCUAUGGGUGGUGGUGGUCCUACAGGUGAUGACAGUCACUCCACAGGUGGUGGUGGUGGUCCCCCCAUGGUUGGUGGUCACCCUAUGGGUGGUGGUGGUCACCACGUGGGUGGUGUCCUACAGGCGGUGGUGGUCCUACGGGUGUUCGGUGUCUUCUCCAUGUAGAUUUCAACAACCCUACACCCCGUACCCCACCACCACACCCCUCUCUGACUGUCCCUGGUCCUCCUGGUCCUACAGGCGGUGGUCCUACAGCUGUUGUCCCUCUACGGGUGUUUCCUGCCUUCCCCUUUGUAGAUUUCUGCAACCCAACACCCAACCAUCACCCCCUCCGACUGUUCCCCCUACAGGUGUUGCUCACCCUACAGCUGUAGUCCCUACAGGUGUUUCCUGUCUUCCCCUUUACGGACUUCUACAACCCAACACCCAACCAUCACCCCCCUCCAACUGUUCCCCUUACAGGUGUUGCUCACCCUACACGUGUUGUCCCUACAGGUGUUGCUCACCCUACAGGUGUUGUCCCUAUAGGUGUUGCUCACCCUACAGCUGUAGUCCCUACAGGUGUUUCCUGUCUUCCCCUUUGUAG